UACAGAGGGGGCAAGCGUUGUUCGGAAUUACUGGGCGUAAAGGGCGCGUAGGCGGCCUCUUAAGUCGAACGUGAAAUCCCCGGGCUCAACCCGGGAACUGCGUCCGAUACUGGGGGGCUUGAAUCCGGGAGAGGGAUGUGGAAUUCCAGGUGUAGCGGUGAAAUGCGUAGAUAUCUGGAGGAACACCGGUGGCGAAGGCGGCAUCCUGGACCGGUAUUGACGCUGAGGCGCGAAAGCUAGGGGAGCAAACGGG
rnacentral:rRNA from 1 species